rnacentral:rRNA from 1 species
ACGGGUGAGUAACACGUGAGUAACCUGCCCUUGACUCUGGGAUAAGCGUUGGAAACGACGUCUAAUACCGGAUAUGAACCGCGAAGGCAUCUUCUGCGGUUGGAAAGAAUUUUGGUCAAGGAUGGACUCGCGGCCUAUCAGCUAGUUGGUGAGGUAACGGCCCACCAAGGCGACGACGGGUAGCCGGCCUGAGAGGGUGACCGGCCACACUGGGACUGAGACACGGCCCAGACUCCUACGGGAGGCAGCAGUGGGGAAUAUUGCACAAUGGGCGAAAGCCUGAUGCAGCAACGCCGCGUGAGGGACGACGGCCUUCGGGUUGUAAACCUCUUUUAGCAGGGAAGAAGCGAAAGUGACGGUACCUGCAGAAAAAGCACCGGCUAACUACGUGCCAGCAGCCGCGGUAAUACGUAGGGUGCAAGCGUUGUCCGGAAUUAUUGGGCGUAAAGAGCUCGUAGGCGGUUUGUCGCGUCUGCUGUGAAAACGCGAGGCUCAACCUCGCGCCUGCAGUGGGUACGGGCAGACUAGAGUGCGGUAGGGGAGAUUGGAAUUCCUGGUGUAGCGGUGGAAUGCGCAGAUAUCAGGAGGAACACCGAUGGCGAAGGCAGAUCUCUGGGCCGUAACUGACGCUGAGGAGCGAAAGCGUGGGGAGCGAACAGGAUUAGAUACCCUGGUAGUCCACGCCGUAAACGUUGGGAAC